rnacentral:lncRNA from 1 species
CCGGUUACGUAGAGAGGGUGUAAAAAUGAACUUCAGAGGCUGGAGCACCGGUGGCUCACCGAGUCAUUCAAUGUUCCAACGAUCGACUAAUUUCCAAUGGCUAUAAUGACAUGGUAGGGUCUAGAGGUCACUAGAUCGUCACUAUUCAUAGUCCAGUGUGCUUGAUAGUCAGAACGACUCCAUGCUUCUGUAGUCAUCAGACAAUCUGAUGGUGCACCAAACCAAAACUGUAGGGGGUCCGGUGCACCACCUGACAGUGCAAUUUUUACUACUUUUUUCUAACGACUUUUUUAGUUGUUGGGGGCUAUAAAUACCCCCAAGCAGUACAAUGAAGGCACAAGAACUACUCCAACCUACUACACAUCAAGUGCAACACCUCCAAACCAUUCAAAGCCAUACACGUGACGCAUUUGAUUGAUUUGAGUUUGAGAGACUUAGCGGCUAGUGCAUUUAGGGCGUGUUUGGUUUGGCGCCUAAUCCGCCACACCGCGCCACACUUUUAAGCCACAAGUGUGGCGGCCAAAUCGGCCGCCACACUUGUGGCUUAAAAGUGUGGCGUGGUGUGGUGGCUUAGGCGCCACACCAAACACGCCCUUAAUUGUUGCGAGUUCUUAUGAUCUUGAUUUGAGCUUUCAUUUUCACUUUGUAUCCCCCAUUCUCAUUGUUGUAAAGUGAAGCAACAGACUUUGUUCUUUGUGUGGAGGUCGUUGCGGGACUUGGCGUCUCUGAGAAGUGAAGAAAGACUCAAUUGGUCUCCAUGACCAUUUGAGAGAGGAAAAGGGUUGAAAGAGACCCGUUCUUAGUGGACUCUGAAAACAUCUAGGCUUCUAGUUGGUUUUAGUGAUCAAUGACAACGUAAGAUUACUUGUGACUAAUGUGUGUUUCGCAGAGCAAAUGGUAAGUGUAAUACCCAAUUUGUAAAUAAUAAGAGAAGGGUGAUCUUCUUACAUGUAUCUUCUUCCAAUUAUUAGAACAUGUGAAUAGCCUUAUUUAAAGUGAAUAAUUAACUAAUGACACCUAAAAUAAU